GAUGAACGCUGGCGGCGUGCCUAAUACAUGCAAGUCGAGCGAACAGACGAGGAGCUUGCUCCUUUGACGUUAGCGGCGGACGGGUGAGUAACACGUAGGUAACCUACCUAUAAGACUGGGAUAACUUCGGGAAACCGGAGCUAAUACCGGAUAAUAUUUCGAACCGCAUGGUUCGAUAGUGAAAGAUGGCUUUGCUAUCACUUAUAGAUGGACCUGCGCCGUAUUAGCUAGUUGGUAAGGUAACGGCUUACCAAGGCAACGAUACGUAGCCGACCUGAGAGGGUGAUCGGCCACACUGGAACUGAGACACGGUCCAGACUCCUACGGGAGGCAGCAGUAGGGAAUCUUCCGCAAUGGGCGAAAGCCUGACGGAGCAACGCCGCGUGAGUGAUGAAGGUCUUCGGAUCGUAAAACGCUGUUAUUAGGGAAGAACAAACGUGUAAGUAACUGUGCACGUCUUGACGGUACCUAAUCAGAAAGCCACGGCUAACUACGU
rnacentral:rRNA from 1 species